rnacentral:lncRNA from 1 species
CCUACCUCUGUUCCACCAACAUUGUGGCUGCCCCAAGUCACCUGUGGGAAAACAGACAUGACUGUUAAACUACCUGCUGGAAUGCUGAUAGAUGUGAAGGUGCUUGGUCCAGAGGCGUUGUUGCACGUUCAUGAUGGAUACAGUGUAACUCAGUGGAAAAGUCUCAAUGCCUUGUUUGUCAAAUUUUCCCAAUCAAAUGUGGAGGCAUUUCAAGACAUCAAUGCCUGCAGCAUUCAUCACAAGUGAAUGCAUCACUGAUGACUACUGGUGUGCAUCAUGUAAUUUUAACAACCAAUGCAUAUUUCACUACAAUAUACCAUUUUUUCAUAGUGUAACUUGACACCAUCGAUAAAGGCUGCUAACCUAAGGCUUUUAUACUCUUCACCAGCUAUGUAAGUUAAUGCUCUUGUCAGGUGUUUUGUUAUACUUUUAUGUUGGAAUGCGUGUAUAUGACAGGAUUCAAGACGUAGAUUCUAUAUUUAACAACAUGGCAUAGUAUUGUAUAUCAUUAUAAUUGCUACCAGGAAUAUCCCUUUAGGAAUAUUAUCGAUCCAUUUUUUUUAUAAAAUAUAUAAAUGAGUGAUACAAAUACUGACCAAAAACAAUUAUGAUGUGUUUUUGGCAAAAGUUGUGAAGAUUUUUGCUAAUAUUUUACAAAGAUGUAUUUUACAAACCUGGCUAAGUUGGUUGUGUUACCUGCAUAACUAUAAUCAUAUUUCAGUUAUCAUUGGGCAUAUUCCACCAUUAUUGGAAGAGUUGUAGCAAUGUCAUACCAAUCCAAUUAAAACCAAUGGAGCUGGUUGGCGGCCAUAUUUCUAGCUUCAUGUCAAAUUUGGUGCACUCAUUGUGAAGACGUUUAGCAAAAAUGGGUUACCUGUACCUCUUUGCUGGAUCCAAUGCAUUCCUGUAGGAUUUCAUUUCAUUGCAGGUUUCACAUCAAAUGUAUUGAUGUUAACACAAGGUAACACUUUAUUUGGAUAGUCCAUCUGUAGAUGCUCUACAGACUAUCAGUAAUAUGUCAACUGCAUGUCUGUAGUUCAUCUACAGUUAGUCUAUCAGCAGUAUUUCAUCAACAUAUCUUUAGACUUUCAGUAGCAUCUCAACAGUAUAUCUCAACAUUUUCAUCAAGGUAGUCUAUAGUCCAUCUAUAGAUGCUCUACAAUCCCUCUGUAAACUAUCAGCAGAAUUUCAACACUAUAUCUGUAGCCCGUAAGUCAUAUUUCAACAGUAUAUCCCCUCGCUUUUACAAUGCCACGACCCAGCAAUUUUUUUUACAUUUUAGUCAUUUAGCAGACGCUCUUCUCCAGAGCGACUUACAGUAGUGAAUACAUUUCAUUAAAAAAAAAGUUUUUCCCCGUACUGGUCCCCCGUGUGUUUGCAACCCUGGCGUUGCAAACACCAUGCUCUACCAACUGAGCCACACGGGACUAUAGAUGAUUAACAAACAAACAGGAGAUUAUCAGCAGCAUCUCAACUGUGUAUCAGUAACAAGUUCAUUCUAUUGUUCUAUCUGUAGAUAUGCUUUUGGACUAUCCAAAUAAAGUGAAACACAAGUUGAUUUUAGUUGGUCUACAGACUAUAUACUUCACAUUCAAAUAUGUAUCAACUGAUGUGCAUUCACUAACACUCCAGUAAUGUAACGGCCGUCGAAGGGAGUAGACCAAGGCGCAGCGGGUUGAGUGCUCAUUUUUAACUUUUAUUGAACACGUAAACAAAACAAGAACCAAACGACAGCUUAACAGUUCCGUCAGGUACAAAACACUAGACUGAAAACAACCACCCACAAACACAAGCUGAAAAACCCUAACCCUAACCCUAAAUAGGACCUCCAAUCAGAGGCAACAAGAAACAGCUGCCUCCAAUUGAAGGUCAAACAAAAAUCCUAAACAUAGAAAUAGAAAAACUAGACACGGACAUAGAAAUAUACUAACAUAGAACAUCUACCAAAACCCCCGAAACACAUAAAACAAACACCCCCUGCCACGCCCUGACCAAACUACAAUAACAAACAACCUCUUUUACUGGUCAGGACGUGACAAGUAAUCCUCUGUAGAUUUGCAUUGGGACAAUCUAAAUAAAGUGAAAGACUGUGUCAUUAAGUUCGUAUGCAAUAAUCACUCAACAGAUAUGCAUUGGGACUAUGCAAUAAAGUGAAAUACUGUUGAAUUAAGUUCCUAUGCAAUAAUCACUCAACACAUUCAAAUGUCCAACUGUUGUUGGGAUGACUGAAAUGGCCUUUUGACACUGGAGCACCUGGAGAAAUAAAUCAAGAGGGAAACAAAC